rnacentral:rRNA from 1 species
CAGUCACCGCGGUAAUACGGAGGGUGCAAGCGUUAAUCGGAAUUACUGGGCGUAAAGCGCACGCAGGCGGUCUGACAAGUCAGAUGUGAAAUCCCCGGGCUUAACCUGGGAACUGCAUUUGAAACUGUCAGGCUGGAGUCUUGUAGAGGGGGGUGGAAUUCCAGGUGUAGCGGUGAAAUGCGUAGAGAUCUGGAGGAAUACCGGUGGCGAAGGCGGCCCCCUGGACAAAGACUGACGCUCAGGUGCGAAAGCGUGGGGAGCAAACAGGAUUAGAUACCCCUGUAGUCCCUGUCUCUUAUAC